rnacentral:rRNA from 1 species
UACGUAGGGUGCGAGCGUUAAUCGGAAUUACUGGGCGUAAAGCGUGCGCAGGCGGGCUUUUAAGCCAGACGUGAAAUCCCCGGGCUUAACCUGGGAAUGGCGUUUGGGACUGGAAGUCUGGAGUGCGGCAGAGGAGACUGGAAUUCCUGGUGUAGCAGUGAAAUGCGUAGAUAUCAGGAGGAACACCAAGAGCGAAGGCAGCUCGCUGGGACGUUACUGACACUGAGGCGCGAAAGCGUGGGGAGCGAACAGG